rnacentral:rRNA from 1 species
UACGGAGGAGGCAAGCGUUAUCCGGAAUUAUUGGGCGUAAAGCGUCCGCAGGUGGCGAUUCAAGUCUGCGGUUAAAGACUGGGGCUUAACCCUGGAAAGGCCGUGGAAACUGAAGAGCUAGAGUGCAGUAGGGGUAGAGGGAAUUCCCGGUGUAGCGGUGAAAUGCGUAGAGCUCGGGAAGAACAUCGGUGGCGAAAGCGCUCUGCUGGACUGCAACUGACACUCAGGGACGAAAGCUAGGGGAGCGAAUGGG